UACGUAGGGUGCGAGCGUUGUCCGGAAUUAUUGGGCGUAAAGAGCUCGUAGGCGGCUUGUCACGUCGGAUGUGAAAACCCGGGGCUCAACCCCGGGCCUGCAUUCGAUACGGGCAGGCUAGAGUUCGGCAGGGGGGACUGGAAUUCCUGGUGUAGCGGUGAAAUGCGCAGAUAUCAGGAGGAACACCGGUGGCGAAGGCGGGUCUCUGGGCCGAUACUGACGCUGAGGAGCGAAAGCGUGGGGAGCGAACAGG
rnacentral:rRNA from 1 species